rnacentral:tRNA from 1 species
GGGGGCGUGACGUAACGGAAGCCGUGGAACCCUUAAAAGGUUCUGUCCGAAAGGACGUGCAGGUUCGAAUCCUGCCGCCCCCACCA